rnacentral:sRNA from 1 species
GGAAGCAAGGGUGACAUGGCUGUAACAGGUGUCACUCCACCAUCAGGGAUUAUUUGGCUUGUCAGUCCAGUGACCCCUUCUUCACUCACUCUUCCACAUGCCUCCUUAAAAACCAGAUGAUUGGUGGAAGAGGAUGGUCCACCCAGAGAGGAGGGCCAGGUUUUGGUAGAGGGUAUGGUGAAUGAGGGAAAUGU